UAUAAAGUAAAAUUCAUUUUAUUAUAAAAUAAAGUCAUCUUAAAAUUGGUUUAAAAAAAGAAUAUAUAUGAUUAAUGUAAAUUUAAUUAUUAAAUUUUAAAUAAUUUUAAAAAAAUAAAAUGAUAAUAACUGGAAAAAAAUUGAAAAAAAUAAUUUAAAUUCAUGUAUUAAAAAGUUUAAAAAUUUAGAUAAAUAAAUAAAAUUUAAAAAUUCAA
rnacentral:misc_RNA from 1 species